GCGCCAGUAUUGAGUCGUUGGUUGCCAUGACAACGAAAAUACAUUUAUUUAGGCUUGUUGUUUUCUAAAAGUACUUUAUAUUUCUAUGUGAAUUUUCACAUUUGUUUUUUCUUUAAAUCCUCUUAAUAUGUUAUUUGGAAUAUUUUGUUAAGAAUCACUUCCGGGUCACGUGCCGCGGAUAGUGAGGAAUUAGAAAGAUCGAGAAGAAAACUGGAGAGAGAGAGAGACAGAGACAGAGCUACGAUACCGUGUGGUCUCCGUGAUUUAAUUUGAUCUACUUUCGGUUUACUAAGGUGCACACGUUUUCACGGUGUUCCAAGAUUAAACGUUUUUCUGGACAUCAGUUGAAGCAUCAUCCUUGACCGGGGUAGUUACAGUGAAAACGUGUCCUCAUCCAUCCUUCUGGAGGCUUCGGCGCACAUCACGUAGCAAGCUACGAGCUACAUCGAGCGUCGUCACACUCAACCCCGCGUGCCACGCAGCUAGCCACGAGCUACUUCGAACGUCGUCGCACUCAACCGGCAGCAAGCUACAGGCCUCGGCAUGCAUCGUCGCUCCUCAACCGGCAGUAAGGCAAGAUUUCAACGCGCGACGUUGCUUCUCAUCCUGUAGCAGCUAAAGGUUUAGGUGGACAUUAACCAGAGUUGGCAAAGGCCUAUACAGCUUCCAGUAGCUCACAAAGUAGAUGGAUAGAAAAUAGACAAAGAUUAUCAUAACUGAGGAACUAAUGAAUGUGAGUUCUUGAAUCUGUGAAAAUAUCUGUGAAUGUUUGACAAGCGCAACAUUG